rnacentral:tRNA from 1 species
UGGCCGAUGGUGUAAUGGUAACACAGGGGUCUUUGGAGCCCUUAGUCAUGGUUCGAAUCCAUGUCGGCCAGCCA